UGCAAUCUGUGAUGAAUUUUUAUUAAUGCUCUGAUUGAUCAGUGAUUAUUAUACUAAAUCACCAUCUUUCGGCUGAGAUUGCA
rnacentral:snoRNA from 1 species